rnacentral:rRNA from 1 species
CCAAAUUACAGAAGGUUGACCUCGGAUCAGGUAGGACUACCCGCUGAACUUAAGCAUAUCAAUAAGCGGAGGAAAAGAAACAACAGGGAUUGCCCUAGUAACGGCGAGUGAAGCGGCAACAGCUCGAAUUUGAAAUCUGGCUUCGGCCCGAGUUGUAAUCUGUAGAGGACGCUUUUGGCGCGGUGCCUUCCGAGUUCCCUGGAACGGGACGCCACAGAGGGUGAGAGCCCCGUAAGGUCGGACACCAAGCCUGUGUAAAGCCCCUUCGACGAGUCGAGUAGCUUGGGAAUGCUGCUCUAAGCGGGAGGUAUACUUCUUCUAAAGCUAAAUAUUGGCCAGAGACCGAUAGCGCACAAGUAGAGUGAUCGAAAGAUGAAAAGCACUUUGAAAAGAGGGUCAAAUAGUACGUGAAAUUGUUGAAAGGGAAGCGCUUGUGAUCAGACUCGCGCCGGGCGGAUCAUCCAGUGGUCUCCACUGGUGCACUCCGGCCGGCGCGGGCCAGCGUCGGCUGUUGCGGGGGGACAAAAGCUCUGGGAACGUAGCUCUCUCCGGGGAGUGUUAUAGCCCUCUGCAGAAUACCCCCGCGGCGGCCGAGGUCCGCGCAUUGCAAGGACGCUGGCGUAAUGGUCAUCAGCGACCCGUCUUGAAACACGGACCAAGGAGUCGAGGUUUUGCGCGAGUGUUCGGGUGCAAAGCCCCAACGCGUAAUUAACGUGAACGUAGGUGAGAGCUUCGGCGCAUCAUCGACCGAUCCUGAUGUAUUCGGAUGGAUUUGAGUAGGAGCGUAAAGCCUCGGACCCGAAAGAUGGUGAACUAUGCCUGUAUAGGGUGAAGCCAGAGGAAACUCUGGUGGAGGCUCGCAGCGGUUCUGACGUGCAAAUCGAUCGUCAAAUAUGGGCAUGGGGGCGAAAGACUAAUCGAACCAUCUAGUAGCUG